AGGAGGGAGGAAUGAAGGUCAGAUGUUGGAAUAGGCAUAAGAAAAGUGGUGCGAAGUAGUCCGUGGUUGCUGGAGGAGCCCAAUUGUUUUUGUCCUUCAAACGAAGAGGUGCGAGCGCUGUCCUUUGAAUGCGAGAAGCCCAGUUAAAUGAUAUAAUUUGGGCGAAGAAUCCCUGUUUUUCAGUUUUCGCCUCGGUUUUCUAUGUUUCGUUGGAGUCUUGUCAGGUUUUAGAUUGAUUGUGCGAAGGAGUUUAGGGUUGCUGGAGGAGCCCCAUUGUUUUUUGUCCUUCAAACAAGAGGUUUUAGAUUGAUUGUGCGAAGGAGUUUGGGGUUGGCGGAGGAACCCCAUCGUUUUUUGUCCUUCAAACAAGAGAUAUUACCAUUACAAGUUCUUUUUGAGCAGGCCUCUUGUGAAACAACUAGAGAGAAGAGAUGGCAGAGAACAGAUUUAGAUUGGGACUUUAUACCUUGUUAGUUUGGGGACUUUUAGUUUUGAUGGUAGUUAUGGGGAUGGUGAAGGGAGACCUGGUACAGACUGAGAGUCCACCUGGAAACUUCUUUUGCAACUGUACUGAAUUCAAUCUGGCUGCUAGUACAACAGAUUAUUCGGCAGAAUGUGACUCCCAGUGCCGCCCAUCUGUUGAAACUUCUGCUUCUGGCAAUGGCACCCUACCGUAGUGACUACUCUGCUUCUGGCAAUGGCAGUGCUAAGUGAUGCCCUGCGCUGGUUGUAAUAUUUAGUCAUCUUAACUUGAUGCUUCUGAUCCUGCUUGUGUAUUAAAUUUUAAUGUAAUGCUUCUGCAAUUAUUUCCGUGUAUAUUUGUAAGAUGAUUUGCUUCAAAACCAUGGUUACAAAGAUUGAAUUGUAAUAUGUGUUCUUUUACAGAGAAAGAGUGCCUUUUAUUUUUGGCACAGAUGUAAAUUUGUAAGAUGAUUUGCGUCAAAACAAUGGUCACAAGAUUGAAUUGUAAUAUGUAUUCUUUUUGCACAGCCGAAUUGGUUAAUGGGGAGAUCUUAAAUCUCUGUCAAAAUACAGUCCAACAAUAUUUUCAUUUCA